CAGUUUUCGGACAAGAAUCUCUUGCUGGUGUUGUUCGCACCAUUUUGUGCUGAGAGGUAGUUGCUGCCGCUUGCACACUUCCCUCCGUCGCCUUGAGAGCUUUGUCUUCAGGGUUGGAGUCUCUGCGGAAAGAUGAGACAUUCAAAGAGAACUUACUGUCCUGACUGGGAUGAAAGAGAUUGGGAUUAUGGAACAUGGAGAAGCAGCAGCAGUCAUAAAAGAAGGAAGAGAUCACAUAGCAGUGCCCGUGAUUAUAAGCGAUGCAAAUACAAUCACUCCAAAACAACGGACAGCUAUUAUCUGGAAAGUAGAUCCAUACAUGAGAAAGCCUAUCACAGCCGACGCUAUGUUGAUGAAUACAGGAAUGACUACAUGACCUACGAGCCAGGGUAUCCCUAUGGAGAACCUGGAAGCAGAUACCAGAAUCAUAGUAGCAAGUCCUCUGGUAGGAGUGGAAGAAGCAGUUACAAAAGCAAACAUAGGAGUCACCACCACACGUCACAUCGUCGUUCACAUGGGGUAUGAGCACCUUUUAAACAUUGAAGUUUUCAUUUCCCAUGGAGAACAGGAAGCAGUUUUGUGUGUGUUUGAGAUAAAAGUCAUCACAACUCUACCCUGCAGGAGUAUUGUUCUUUUAGUAUUUGUGCAUUGCAUAAGAAAUUCAUGAAAACUGCAUAUUUAGUUCUGAAAUGAUAGGAAAGAUUUUCUCAAUGUUAUUUCAAGAUAAUGUUAUUUUGAUAAGUUGUCAGUUUAUUCCAAAGAAUUAGGUAUUUUUUGUUAGUCUUAGUUAUUUAUGACUUAUUAACAUGUUGAGUAAGUCUUUUCUCAUUAAGAUACAGAUUUGAAAUUAGUGUCAUGUAUUAAUUUGGAAACCUAUCAGAUAACAUUUUAAAUGCUAUAGUGUUAUAUACAAAAUUUUUUUUCCUUCCCAAAUUAGGACUAUUGUUUUAUCUACUGUUUUAAUAUUUAUUUUCUUGAUUAGUUAGGCCAAAUCUUAAUUUGGCCACAAGGUAGUAAGGUAAAUACUGCAUCCUACAGUUUUGUAGUAUUAAUUUAGGACACUGUGUUUGAGUGAUUGCCACAGAUGAGCUUUUUGUUUUUUAAGAAGAAAAGCAAAUGUGUUUAUGUUUUGUUGCCUUACCACUUGAAGUAUCUUAUCUGAAAAUCUGUUCCUUGCCAUGUUUUUCUCCUGUUAACAUAAACUAUGUGCCCUGUGAAUUUCUGGGGACUGAAUUUGAAAUUGCUCCUGCCAACCGUUUGUGGCCUGGCGUGUAUCUGAAUGCCUGAAUAUCUCCCCGCUGAAUGAAUUUCGUAUUCUGCCCUGAAUUCACUCGGGUAUAUUGAUUGGCUGGAUCUUGGUGCUGGUGCCGCCCACUUGACGUUUCCAGAAGAGUCACCGAAGGAAAAGAUCGAGGAGUGUAGAGGAUGAUGAGGAGGGUCACCUGAUCUGUCAGAGUGGAGACGUACUAAGUGCAAGAUGUAUAGAAUAUUUUUCAACACUUAUUAACUUUUCAGAUAACAUAAUCUAUAUAUUUAUAUAGAUUAAAGUUUCAGGGAUUUGGAAAUCUUUUUCUUUCUGUUUUUGUUUUGUUUUGUUUUGCUUUCAUUUCUUUUGGUGGGAGGGGAUUGUCUUUACUUUCUUUGGAGUUUUAAUAUUAAACAAAUUCCAGAGCAGUAAAUCAAGUUAAUGAAAUUAGUCUGAGAAUGAAAUUAGAUCUAAGAAUAGUUUGUUUUUUGGAUGGUGUUGGCUGAUAAGUAAUUAAUGAUAAGGAAAUUUGCAGCAUCACCUAGAAUAAUCUGCAUUGAUAACGCUUGUAAGUACAUUGUUCUCAUUUCAUGUUACUAAUGAUAUGUAUUCCUCUUUUUUAGAUGAAAUUGUUGAUACUUUAGGUGAAGGUGCUUUUGGAAAAGUGGUGGAGUGUAUCGAUCAUAAAGUGGGAGGUAGACAUGUAGCGGUAAAAAUAGUUAAAAAUGUGGAUAGAUACUGUGAAGCUGCUCAAUCGGAAAUACAAGUUUUGGAACACUUAAAUGCAACAGACCCCCAUAGUACUUUCCGUUGUGUCCAGAUGUUGGAAUGGUUUGAGCACCGAGGUCACAUUUGCAUUGUGUUUGAACUUCUGGGGCUUAGUACUUACGAUUUCAUUAAGGAAAACAGCUUUCUGCCGUUUCGAAUGGAUCAUAUCAGGAAGAUGGCAUAUCAAAUAUGCAAAUCUGUAAACUUUUUGCAUAGUAAUAAAUUGACUCACACAGACUUGAAGCCUGAAAACAUCUUAUUUGUGAAGUCUGACUACACAGAGGCUUAUAAUCCCAAAAUGAAACGUGAUGAACGCACUAUAGUAAAUCCCGAUAUUAAAGUGGUGGACUUUGGGAGUGCAACAUAUGAUGACGAACAUCACAGCACAUUGGUAUCUACAAGACAUUACAGAGCACCAGAAGUCAUUCUAGCCCUAGGGUGGUCACAACCAUGUGAUGUCUGGAGUAUAGGAUGUAUUCUUAUCGAGUAUUAUCUUGGAUUUACAGUUUUUCCGACUCAUGAUAGCAGGGAACAUUUAGCAAUGAUGGAAAGGAUUCUUGGACCACUGCCAAAGCACAUGAUUGAGAAAACCAGGAAACGCACAUACUUCCAUCACGAUCGAUUGGAUUGGGAUGAGCACAGUUCUGCUGGCAGAUAUGUUUCUCGGCGCUGUAAGCCUCUGAAGGAGUUUAUGCUGUCUCAGGAUGCCGAGCAUGAGCUUCUCUUUGACCUCAUUGGGAAAAUGUUGGAGUAUGAUCCAGCCAAAAGAAUCACUCUCAAAGAAGCCCUAAAGCAUCCUUUCUUUUACCCGCUUAAAAAGCAUACAUGAUUUAUAAAUAUGGUGCUCUGAAAGAAAUUUUACAGACUGUAUCAGUCUAGAUUUUAAUUUAUUUGUAUAGCUUUGUACACUGAUGUUUUAGAGGCUUUAUGAGAUACAUGGCCAAGCCAUACAACAUCUUUCAGUAAUUAUAGAACGAUUUAUUUGGAAUAAACUUUGUGCUUAUGAAUGUAUAAAGGUAU
rnacentral:lncRNA from 1 species